rnacentral:rRNA from 1 species
UACGUAGGGGGCAAGCGUUGUCCGGAUUUACUGGGCGUAAAGAGCGCGCAGGCGGUCGUUCAAGUCGCGUGUGAAAGCCCCCGGCUCAACUGGGGAGGGUCACGCGAUACUGAUCGACUCGAAGGCAGGAGAGGGAAGUGGAAUUCCCGGUGUAGUGGUGAAAUGCGUAGAUAUCGGAAGGAACACCAGUGGCGAAAGCGGCUUCCUGGUCCAGCACCGACGUUCAGGCACGAAAGCGUGGGGAGCAAACAGG